CCAUGUAAACAUUCACAGUGCAGGUGGAAAAAGUAUGUGAACCCCUAGACUAAUGACAUCUCCAAGAGCUAAUUGGAGUGAGAUGUCAGCCAACUGGAGUCCAAUCAAUGAGAUGAGAUUGGAGGUGUUGGUUACAGCUGCCCUGCCCUAUAAAAAACACACACCAGUUCUGGGUUUGCUUUUCACAAGAAGCUUUGCCUGAUGUGAAUGAUGCCUCACACAAAAGAGCUCUCAGAAGACCUACGAUUAAGAAUUGUUGACCUGCAUAAAGCUGGAAAGUAUUAUAAAAGUAUCUCUAAAAGCCUUGCUGUUCCUCAGUCCACGGUAAGACAAAUUGUCUAUAAAUGAAGAAAGUUCAGCACUGCUUCUACUCUCCCUAGGAGUGGCCGUCCUGUAAAGAUGACUGCAAGAGCACAGCGCAGACUGCUCAAUGAGGUGAAGAAGAAUCCUAAUGUCAGCUUAAGACUUACAAAAGUCACUGGCAAAUGCUAACAUCUAUGUAAGCGAAUCUACAAUACGUAAAACACUAAUGGAUUUCAUGGGAGGAUACCACAGAGGAAGCCACUGCUGUCCAAACAAAACAUUGCUGCACGUUUACAGUUUGCACAAGAGCACCUGGAUGUUCCACAGCAGUACUGGCAAAAUAUUUUGUGAACAGAUGAAACCAAAGUUGAGUUGUUUGGAAGAAACACACAGCACUAUGUGUGGAGAAAAAAAAGCCUCAUCCCAACUGUGAAGUAUGGUGGUUGGGGCUGCUUUGCUGUGUCAGGGCCUGGAUGUAUUGCUAUCAUCGAAGGAAAAAUGAAUUCCCAAGUUUAUCAAGAUUUAAUUUUAAAUUUAAUAAAAAUCAUUUUGCAGGAGAACUUAGGGCAUCUGUCUACCAGCUGAAGCUCAACAGAAGAUGGGUGUUGCAACGGUACAAUGACCGAAAGCAUAGAAGUAAAUCAACAACAGAAUGGCUUAAACAGAAGAAAAUACGCCUUCUGAAGUGGCCCAGUCAGAGUCCUGACCUCAACCCGAUUGAGAUGCUGUGGCAUGACCUCAAGAAAGUGAUUCACACCAGACAUCCCAAGAAUAUUGCUGAACUGAAACAGUUCUGUAAAGAGGAAUGGUCAAGAAUUACUCCUGACCGUUGUGCACAUCUGAUCUGCAACUACAGGAAACGUUUGGUUUAAGUUAUUGCUGCCAAAGUAGGUUCAACCAGUUAUUAAAUCCAAGGGUUCACAUACUUUUUCCACCUGCACUGUGAAUGUUU